AUUCUUCAACCCAACUGUUUCUUGUAAACAGCUGGUGUUUGGAUUCUGAGCGCUGCUGGCUUCGUGCCUAGCUCGUUCGUAAUACAUCAGCAUCCCUAAUACAAGUUUGGAUUGACUUGGCGUAAUAGACUAUUCGCUAAGGAUUCAAUGUUCGCAUUGAGCCAACUUAAUUAUGGAAGCUUCUAAUUGAAAAGUCUACCUUUAG
rnacentral:misc_RNA from 1 species